rnacentral:rRNA from 1 species
GAGCUUUCGGAGCUCGGCGUACCGCUCAGUAACACGUGGGUAACCUAACCUAUGCAGGGGAAUAACCUCGGGAAACUGAGUAUAAUGCCCCAUAGUCCACUACGCCUGGAACGGUGAGUGGAUCAAAGCUCAGGCGGCAUAGGAUGGGCCUGCGGCGUAUCAGGUUGUAGGGGGUGUAAAGUACCCUCUAGCCAUCUACGCGUACGGGUGUUGGGAGACAUAGCCCGGAGAUGGAUUCUGAGACACGAAUCCAGACCCUACGGGGUGCAGCAGGCGCGAAAACUUCACACUGCAGGAAACUGUGAUGAGGGAACUCCAAGUGCUAUCACUAUGUGGUAGCUUUUCUUGACUAUUAAUCGGUCAUGGAAUAAGGGCUGGGAAAGACCGGUGCCAGCCGCCGCGGUAAUACCGGCAGCUCAAGUGGUCGUCGCUUUUAUUGGGCCUAAAACGUCCGUAGCCGGUUUGGUACAUUCGUGGGUAAAUCAACUCGCUCAACGAGUUGAAUUCUGCGAGGACGGCCAGACUUGGGACCGGGAGAGGUGUGGGGUACUCUCAGGGUAGGGGUAAAAUCCUGUCAUCCUGAGAGGACCACCUGUUGCGAAGGCGCCACACUAGAACGGAUCCGACGGUCAGGGACGAAGCCUAGGGGCACGAACCGGAUUAGAUACCCGGGUAGUCCUAGGUGUAAACGCUGUGGACUUGAUGUUGGAGAAGCUCCGAGCUUCU